AGUGAACGCUGGCGGUAGGCCUAACACAUGCGAGUCGAACGGCAGCACAGUAAGAGCUUGCUCUUACGGGUGGCGAGUGGCGGACGGGUGAGGAAUACAUCGGAAUCUACUUUUUCGUGGGGGAUAACGUAGGGAAACUUACGCUAAUACCGCAUACGACCUACGGGUGAAAGCAGGGGAUCUUCGGACCUUGCGCGAUUAAAUGAGCCGAUGUCGGAUUAGCUAGUUGGCGGGGUAAAGGCCCACCAAGGCGACGAUCCGUAGCUGGUCUGAGAGGAUGAUCAGCCACACUGGAACUGAGACACGGUCCAGACUCCUACGGGAGGCAGCAGUGGGGAAUAUUGGACAAUGGGCGCAAGCCUGAUCCAGCCAUACCGCGUGGGUGAAGAAGGCCUUCGGGUUGUAAAGCCCUUUUGUUGGGAAAGAAAAGCAGCAGGUUAAUACCCCGCUGUUCUGACGGUACCCAAAGAAUAAGCACCGGCUAACUUCGUG
rnacentral:rRNA from 1 species